UUGGAGGGCAAGUCUGGUGCCAGCAGCCGCGGUAAUUCCAGCUCCAAUAGCGUAUAUUAAAGUUGUUGCAGUUAAAAAGCUCGUAGUUGAAUUUCGGGGUCAGUAGGUUGGUCAUGCCACUGGUAUGUACUGGUCUCACUGAUUCCUCCUUCCUGAUGAACUGUAAUGCCAUUAAUUUGGUGUUGCAGGGAAUCUGGACUGUUACUUUGAAAAAAUUAGAGUGUUUAAAGCAGGCUAACGCCUGAAUACAUUAGCAUGGAAUAAUGAAAUAGGACGUUCGAUCCUAUUUUGUUGGUUUCUAGGAUUGACGUAAUGAUUAAUAGGGAUAGUUGGGGGCAUUAGUAUUCAAUUGUCAGAGGUGAAAUUCUUGGAUUUAUUGAAGACUAACUAUUGCGAAAGCAUUUGCCAAGGAUGUUUUCAUUAAUCAAGAACGAAAGUUAGGGGAUCGAAGACGAUCAGAUACCGUCGUAGUCUUAACCAUAAACUAUGCCGACUAGGGAUCGGAUGAUGUUAAUUUUUUAAUGACUCAUUCGGCGCCUUACGGGAAAC
rnacentral:rRNA from 1 species